rnacentral:rRNA from 1 species
GACGAACCGUGCGAACGUUGUUCGGAAUCACUGGGCAUAAAGGGCGCGUAGGCGGCUUUUCAAGUCAGGGGUGAAAUCCGGCAGCUCAACUGUCGAAGUGCCUUUGAUACUGAUGAGCUCGAGGGAGGUAGGGGUCUGUGGAACUUCCGGUGGAGCGGUGAAAUGCGUUGAUAUCGGAAGGAACGCCGGUGGCGAAAGCGACGGACUGGACCUCUUCUGACGCUGAGGCGCGAAAGCCAGGGGAGCAAACGGG